CCAUGGGGGUAAGAGGGACCGGUUUAACGGGAUAUUGGUGCGGUUCAAUGAGAAAGCAAUGCUCAAAAUGUUUCAAGCCUUGUUUUUCUAUUGAGCCGUGCCAAUAUCACGUGCCACUGCUCCUAAAAACCCCUUAAAGCAAAAGAAAAAAAAAAUAAUAAUUCUGAUUAUCAAAGGGUCUUACAAGGAACCUAGAGGGUAUGACAUUAAUUGUAGCAUAUGGAAGAAGAGAAGAAUUGGUUACAAGAACAAGUUUAUUAUUGAGACACACAUUCAAGUGAUGACAAGUUUUUAUAUAUUCAUCUAUUAAUUAAUUUUCAUAUAUAGGUCACAUUGUUUUCUUUGAAAUGUGAUGUUUAACAGAACAUGGCUUGUGCACUUCUUUAAGUUUAAGCAUUGUUUUCUGUCCCUGCCUCUCUUUCUUUUC